CAUUACCAAAAUUCAUCAUUUCAAAACGUAAUCCAGCCUAUACAUGCCAUAAUUCAAGUUCAGCUAUUAAGUACCGAAACAGUGGAUAGUUUAAUAAGCUUUGCUGACGAUCCCUGAGCUUCUAACUUGAAUCAAAAAUCUAUAAAACAGUGUAAACAUGAACACAGAGUAAGCUUUCAUAGCUUAGUAAGUCAUAAGUAAAUUAAACAAUUAAUACAUAAAAACAUUUCAUUUACUAAUCAUUACAAUUAAAUAAAUCAUCUUAUGCAUUUGUAAUCACAUUUAUUUUCAAACUUUUAAUUCCACACAUAUAAAACAUAUACUUUCAUAAGGCAACUUUUCUUUGGCUGAAUAUACAAGUGUAUAUAACCAAUAUGUUCUCAAAUUUUGAAACCACAUUGACUUAUAUAACCGAAUAUACAUAUAUAUUUUAAGACAUAUACUUAUCACUCAAAGUUUAACAAUACAUUCAUGUACAAUUAUAUGAUCAAAUAUAUUUCUCAUAUUAGCACAUGAACUACAUCAAAUUUAUGUAUUGUUUUUCAUCACAUAUCAAGAAAUCAAUUCAUCCUAUUUUUAAAUAGGUAGUCCAACUAUCAUGUACCUCAUCAUUUUAGCUUGUUCAACGUAUUCAUUUAUCAAUCAACAUAAAGUCUUUUAGGCAUAGACUUAAUAUAUUUCACCGGCAUAAAACCUGUUAGGCCUAAGUCUGUAUCACACACCUGUACAAGGCCUGCUAGACUCAAAGUCUGAUUUUAUACACCGGCAAUAAGCCUGCUAGGCAUCAAGCCCGAUUAAAUUCACCAGCACAAGGCUUGCUAGGCUCAAAGCCCGAAUAUCAUUAUAAUAAAGCUGUCUCAUAAAAAAUUCAUAAUAUCGAACAUUUCAGAUAUUCCAUAUGGUUCAUACGGACUUCCAAAUGUUAUAACUCAAUCGAGUUAAACUCAAAUACAUUAUUUCUAUGCUUUAUCACAUUCGGUUAAUUCUAUUAUAAAUCCAUGAAUUUCAAAUCAGCAUAUUAAACUAAAUUACAUUCAAAAUUAACGAUAUUUAAUCGCUUAAAGACUUACCUCAGACGAUGAAAAAUCGGUACGGAUCGGCUAGUCGACACUUUACUUUUCCCCCGAUCUAAAUCCGUUUUUCUCUUUUCUUGAUAAAAAUUAAUAUAAAUUAAACUUAUUAAAUCAAAUAUUCAACCAAAUUCAUCCAAAAACACACAAAUGGGAAAAUUACACUUUUACCCCUGAUAUUUCACAUUUUUCACAAUUUAGUCCAUAUUGCAUAAAAUACAAAAUAUACACAAUCUCACAACAACAUAGUUUGGCCGAAUAUUCAUUAUACUCAUACUAGUCCAUAUAUUUCAUUUAUUUCACAUUUUAGUCCCUCAAUUUAUUAUUUUUACAAUUUAGUCCUAAUUACUCAAAAUCAUUAAAACUCAAAUACAAAACAUGUUAAUCUAAAACAUAUUUUUAAUAUUUCGUCAUCAAACAUCAUAAAACACAAAUAUUCAUCAAUAGAAAACUCAAAACAUUCAUCAAAAUAAAAAAUUCUGGCAUGGGUCAAAUAGUAUUCGAAGCAACGAUCUCAAAAACGUAAAAAUUAUCAAAAACCAAGCAAAAACUAACCUUGAAUGAAGCUUGGACAAGGCCAAAUAUUUGAAAGCGUAAAACCCUUUAUUCUUUCUCAAGUUUCA
rnacentral:lncRNA from 1 species